rnacentral:rRNA from 1 species
CCUACGGGCGGCAGCAGUGGGGAAUAUUGCACAAUGGGCGCAAGCCUGAUGCAGCCAUGCCGCGUGUGUGAAGAAGGCCUUCGGGUUGUAAAGCACUUUCAGCGGGGAGGAAGGCGGUGAGGUUAAUAACCUCAUCGAUUGACGUUACCCGCAGAAGGAGCACCGGCUAACUCCAUGCCAGCAGCCGCGGUAAUACGGAGGGUGCAAGCGUUAAUCGGAAUUACUGGGCGUAAAGCGCACGCAGGCGGUCUGUCAAGUCGGAUGUGAAAUCCCCGGGCUCAACCUGGGAACUGCAUUCGAAACUGGCAGGCUAGAGUCUUGUAGAGGGGGGUAGAAUUCCAGGUGUAGCGGUGAAAUGCGUAGAGAUCUGGAGGAAUACCGGUGGCGAAGGCGGCCCCCUGGACAAAGACUGACGCUCAGGUGCGAAAGCGUGGGGAGCAAACAGGAUUAGAUACCCGAGUAGUC